AGGCCUCCUUGCUGUAUUUAUAUACACUAAAGCCUCUGCCCGAAUAAAACAUCCAUGUAAAAUCCAAUUUCCUCAGAAUCUCUUUUGGAGCCUGGGCCUGAGAUGGAGUAGGUAACCCCGGCGGUAACUGCCUGAACCACUCCUGCUGGCUGCAAAGGGCUGCGGGAAGCUGGACCUGAAAGUGCUUCUCUGUACCUGCCUCCUGCCUUCCAGCAGAGCCUAGCACUUCACCGGGGAUGGAGGAGUGAGUAUGCAUUACUUGGCUAAGCAGAGAAAAAUUAAAUAAAAGAAAGAAGAAAAAAGAAACCAAUGAUAGAAACAUGUUUGAAGGGACAACGAGAGAAAUGGACACUCUUAUUCAGAAACAUUUCUCCAGCCCCAGGUGGGGAGAAGGGGCUGCCCCAAGAGGCCUGGCUCAGUUCUGAGGCUGGGUACUGAGUGGGGCUGGAUUUGAACCUUAAAGAGAUGUAGAUUGAUUAGCACAUAGAUGAUGCAGCUCUAUGGACAAAUGCAACAUCUUUAAUAAAAAGCCAUCAUUCUAAAGAUGUGGUACAUGUAUACAAUGGAAUACUACUCAGCCAUAAGAAAAGAUGAAAU